UACGUAGGGUGCAAGCGUUAAUCGGAAUUACUGGGCGUAAAGCGUGCGCAGGCGGUGAUGUAAGACAGAUGUGAAAUCCCCGGGCUCAACCUGGGACCUGCAUUUGUGACUGCAUCGCUAGAGUACGGCAGAGGGGGAUGGAAUUCCGCGUGUAGCAGUGAAAUGCGUAGAUAUGCGGAGGAACACCGAUGGCGAAGGCAAUCCCCUGGGCCUGUACUGACGCUCAUGCACGAAAGUGCGGGGAUCAAACAGG
rnacentral:rRNA from 1 species